UACAGAGGGUGCGAGCGUUAAUCGGAAUUACUGGGCGUAAAGCGCGCGUAGGCGGCUUUGCAAGUCGGGUGUGAAAUCCCCAGGCUUAACCUGGGAACUGCAUUCGAGACUGCAUUGCUAGAGUAUGGGAGAGGGAAGUGGAAUUUCCGGUGUAGCGGUGAAAUGCGUAGAUAUCGGAAGGAACAUCAGUGGCGAAGGCGGUUCUCUGGGCCUUACCUGACGCUGAGGAGCGAAAGCAUGGGGAGCAAACAGG
rnacentral:rRNA from 1 species